rnacentral:lncRNA from 1 species
ACGUCUCUAAUCUAAGAGAGUUCCUCUCUAGGCUCAAGAAACCAGAACGUCUCUAAUCUAGGAUUGUUCCUCUCUAGGAAUCCGUCUCACGUCACAAUGGUCCCCAACCUUGAGGCUCCGCCCCUUCCGCUCCUCCUCCUCCUCCCCCCCACCCCUCUUUCCAUGCUCGAAAACAGGAAAGACCCGACAGCUGUCAAAGAGGAAAGAAGAAGAGCCGAACCGGAGGUGGGAAGCUGGGAGUCCGGCCUCCUCCUGCCCUCCCACCCCUAGGAUCCACCCGCCCCCAGGAAAGGCCGCUUUGCAAGGGGGGGCGGUGGCUUCCUCGCGAGUUUCCUGCCAGAGGAGCUGCAAGGAGUGUUUGACGGGGACUCUUAAGAAGCACUUGGUUCAGUGGCUCUGGAUCGAGAAGAGCAAAGGGAAGACCAGAUCCCCCUCCUGACCAGAUCCCAGGCUGGGGAUUCACUACAGCCUGUGAAGUGACUUCCAGCCAACUCGAGGGGGGCAAAAGACUUUCGCUUUGCAAACAAAAGAUCCAGAAGCACGCACAUCACUGGUGAGUUUCUCAGGCCAAGUGGUGUUUUGAGCCCAGGUUGCAGGAGACAUUUGGUUAUCUACCACGUUGCCUCUCUGAACAUGUGCAGACUGUUGUUAUUAUUCCUUUAGUUCCCAAUCCUGCUUGGCUCAA